UACGUAGGGCGCAAGCGUUGUCCGGAAUUAUUGGGCGUAAAGAGCUCGUAGGCGGCUUGUCGCGUCGGUUGUGAAAGCCCGGGGCUUAACCCCGGGUCUGCAGUCGAUACGGGCAGGCUAGAGUUCGGUAGGGGAGAUCGGAAUUCCUGGUGUAGCGGUGAAAUGCGUAGAUAUCGAGAGGAACACCUGCGGCGAAGGCGGGUAGCUGGGCCGACACUGACGCUGAGGCGCGAAAGCCAGGGGAGCGAACGGG
rnacentral:rRNA from 1 species